AUGAACGCUGGCGGCAUGCCUAACACAUGCAAGUCGAACGAGAAUCUAUGGAUAGAGGAUUCGUCCAAUUGAAAUAGAGGACAGUGGCGAACGGGUGAGUAAUGCAUGAGCAACCUGCCCUUCAGAGGGGGACAACAGUUGGAAACGACUGCUAAUACCGCAUAACAUUUUGGGAAGGCAUCUUCCUAAAAUCAAAGAUUUAUCGCUGAAGGAUGGGCUCAUGUCUGAUUAGCUAGUUGGCGGGGUAACGGCCCACCAAGGCUGCGAUCAGUAGCCGGUCUGAGAGGAUGAACGGCCACAUUGGGACUGAGAUACGGCCCAGACUCCUACGGGAGGCAGCAGUGGGGAAUAUUGGGCAAUGGGCGCAAGCCUGACCCAGCAAUGCCGCGUGAAGGAAGAAGGCCCUCGGGUUGUAAACUUCUUUUAUCAGGGACGAAGGAUGUGACGGUACCUGAUGAAUAAGCUCCGGCUAACUACGUG
rnacentral:rRNA from 1 species